rnacentral:rRNA from 1 species
GGGCCCGCACAAGCGGUGGAGCAUGUGGAUUAAUUCGUCAUUAACCGAAGAACCUUACCAGGGUUUGACAUCUGGAGAACCUUCCUGAAAGGGAGGGGUGCCCGCAAGGGAGCUCCAAGACAGGUGUUGCAUGGCUGUCGUCAGCUCGUGUCGUGAGAUGUUGGGUUAAGUCCCGCAACGAGCGCAACCCUCAUCGAAUGUUGCCAGCGUAAAGUCGGGCACUCUUUCGAAACUGCCGGGGUAACCCGGAGGAAGGCGGGGAUGACGUCAAGUCAGCAUGGCCCUUACACCCUGGGCUUCACACAUGCUACAAUGGAUGGUACAGAGGGCUGCAAAGCCGCGAGGUGGAGCCAAUCCCAAAAAGCCAUCCUCAGUUCGGACUGUAGUCUGCAAUUCGACUACACGAAGUCGGAAUCGCUAGUAACCGCAGGUCAGCUAAACUGCGGUGAAUACGUUCCCGGGCCUU